rfam:Dichanthelium oligosanthes cultivar Kellogg 1175 unplaced genomic scaffold Do_version_2_scaffold2133, whole genome shotgun sequence.
UCUGCAGGAUAGUGUGUAUCGGCUUUAUGCUCUCUUCUAUGCAUUUUUUGCCGAAAGUGUUUCCUGCUAUAUUGAUUGAAGGAAAGUGGGCAGUUGGGUUAAGCUUAUUCUGUUUUCUCCAACAAUCAUUUUCCUCUCAUGU